AUACGUAGGGUGCAAGCGUUAAUCGGAAUUACUGGGCGUAAAGCGUGCGCAGGCGGUUUUGUAAGACAGAGGUGAAAUACCCGGGCUCAACCUGGGCACUGCCUUUGUGACUGCAAGGCUAGAGUCCGGCAGAGGGGGAUGGAAUUCCGCGGGUAGCAGUGAAAUGCGUAGAUAUGCGGAGGAACACCGAUGGCGAAGGCAAUCCCCUGGGCCUGUACUGACGCUCAUGCACGAAAGCGUGGGGAGCAAACAGGAUUAGAUACCCUGGUAGUCCACGCCCUAAACGAUGUCAACUGGUUGUUGGGUCUUCGUUGACUCAGUAACGAAGCUAACGCGUGAAGUUGACCGCCUGGGGAGUACGGCCGCAAGGUUGAAACUCAAAUGAAUUGACGGGG
rnacentral:rRNA from 1 species